rnacentral:rRNA from 1 species
GACGAACGCUGGCGGCGUGCUUAACACAUGCAAGUCGAACGAUGAACCCGGAGCUUGCUCCGGUGGAUUAGUGGCGAACGGGUGAGUAACACGUGAGUAACCUGCCCUUGACUCUGGGAUAACUGCGGGAAACUGUAGCUAAUACCGGAUACGACCCUCGGCGGCAUCGCCAGGGGGUGGAAAGAAUUUCGGUCAAGGAUGGACUCGCGGCCUAUCAGCUUGUUGGUGAGGUAACGGCUCACCAAGGCGACGACGGGUAGCCGGCCUGAGAGGGUGAACGGCCACACUGGGACUGAGACACGGCCCAGACUCCUACGGGAGGCAGCAGUGGGGAAUAUUGCGCAAUGGACGAAAGUCUGACGCAGCGACGCCUCGUGAGGGACGAAGGUCUUCGGAUUGUAAACCUCUUUCAGCAGGGACGAAGCGAAAGUGACGGUACCUGCAGAAGAAGCACCGGCUAACUAUGUGCCAGCAGCCGCCGCAG